rnacentral:rRNA from 1 species
GAGUGGCGAACGGGUGAGUAACACGUGGGUAAUCUGCCCUGCACUCUGGGAUAAGCCUUGGAAACGAGGUCUAAUACCGGAUAUCACCACCGUGGGCAUCUUCGGUGGUUGAAAGUUCUGGCGGUGCAGGAUGAACCCGCGGCCUAUCAGCUUGUUGGUGGGGUAAUGGCCUACCAAGGCGACGACGGGUAGCCGGCCUGAGAGGGUGACCGGCCACACUGGGACUGAGACACGGCCCAGACUCCUACGGGAGGCAGCAGUGGGGAAUAUUGCACAAUGGGCGCAAGCCUGAUGCAGCGACGCCGCGUGAGGGAUGACGGCCUUCGGGUUGUAAACCUCUUUCGCCAGGGACGAAGCGCAAGUGACGGUACCUGGAUAAGAAGCACCGGCUAACUACGUGCCAGCAGCCGCGGUAAUACGUAGGGUGCGAGCGUUGUCCGGAUUUAUUGGGCGUAAAGAGCUCGUAGGCGGUUUGUCGCGUCGGCCGUGAAAUCUCCACGCUUAACGUGGAGCGUGCGGUCGAUACGGGCAGACUUGAGUUCGGUAGGGGAGACUGGAAUUCCU